ACCGCCCUGGCCCACAUGUUAUCACCUUGCCUAGCGUGUUCUUCCUGGAGUUCUGUAGCCGAACCCCGACCGAAUCAAAUCGAUCGAUUCCGAUCGAUCUACUCCCCUCGCCCAGUCCUGACUCCGUAUAAAUGUUCCCCGAGUCCUCCUCUGCCAAUUUUUCCCAAAAUAUCUGUCACCCGUGCCCUAGGGCGUCGACCCGAUAUCACCGGAGUUCACCGCCGUCUGAAGCUUCCGCCAGUCGGUACCAUCGCCUCUGGAGGAGAGCACCAAGACGCCGCCCACGAGCCAAACCCGAAGAAGAUCGCUGCCACGCCAUAUUGUGAAUAGCAGCCAGCAGAGGCCACCCCCAUCGCCCUCGACGCCGAGCAGGACCCAUCCGAGACUGCCGUGCCACUCCGCGUCUGACGCGCACCUCCCCGAGGCCAAAUGAACUCUGUAGCGGUCGCCCUCAUCACCACCGAGCCGCGCCGGCGUCGUUCUUCUCCAAGUUCGGUGGCCUUCCUCUGUUCCUCUCCGAUUGUCCGGAGUGAGAAGCGGAUCAGAAUUAAGCGUUAGAGUACUUCAGCACUAUUCAAGGCAAGUUUGCACUUUUGAUUUUGCUCAUCCUAUAUUCUGCUAUGCAUAUGUGGUUUUAUUCUAUGAUAUAUGUUUUGCCUAUGUGAAUCCCGUGUUGUCAUGUUUUGGUAUUGAUUGUGUUAUGUGAUGGUGUGAUCAACUUGCUAUGGUAGACGUGGGCAUGUGUCGAGUGAUCCAUGAAAGUGGUGAGUAUUUAUAGCCGUAGGUUCGGGAUUAUUAACCAGGUGAAUGUGUCACUGGCAGAGCGCUCUAUUGUCCCUAGAGAAUGCGCCAUUGACAGGGCGCACUUGAGGCGAGGUUUAGUUUUCGGAAAUUAAAUCAGGUGAAUGCGUCCUUGGCAGAGCGCUCUAUUGUUCCUAGAGAAUGUGCGACUGACAGAGCGCACUUGAGAGAUACUUCUGAAGUUCUUGUCAUGUUUAUUUAGAAUCUUUGGGUUAUCUUGGGCGAGUAAAUUAGAGACGGUUGUGAGUUCAGGUAGUGGAGGUAGGUGAAGAUAUUCUUUUCCAAACUUGUGUGUUUUGUUUGUCAUACAUUGCUUUGUGGAUGUAGGUUAGCUUUAUCAUUAUGUGUAAUUUGCCAAUACAUUCAAUGUAUUGACCCUUUGUGGCUGCAACUUAUCAUGUUGCAGGAUUUUCAGAUGAUCAGUGUGAUACAGUAGGGUUGCGAGUCUUCACUCAGCAUUUUUGUCAGUGCAAAUUGAUGGGACUCAUCGUUUACUUGUGCUACAUUUCCGCUGUUGUUAUUGAAUAAAGUUAGCUAUGUGCUACUCAAUUUGUAAUGCUUUAUAAAUUCAGGAUCAUUCAUUGUAGUAAAUGAUGCACUUGUUACUUUGAUAUUCCUAUGUACUGUGUGUGCUAGCGAGUCGAUCCAGGGACUAGCACGGU